AGGGCUUCAAAUUAAAAUGAAAUUUGGCAUGUACUAUUUCAUUGUGCAUCGCAGUUUAUGUUUGGAGCCGAGAUGUGUGUUCCCCUCGCUAUCCUGGGUUGCAAUUUUGAUGCUCCAUUAGGACGUCGGGGAACUAAAUCU